UUAGGUUAUUCGGUAUUAAUUAUAUAUAUUUUUUAAAUUAAAUUAAAUUAAAUUAAAAUUAAAGGAAAACUAUGUUGCGGGGUGAAUGAAUAAAUAAGCGUUUUCCAUUUGUAAUCACAGUAUUUAGCAUAUGAGAACUUAAACAAAACUAAAAUAACCUAGUAGAUAAAUAAUGAUAAAAUUGUAAACAUUAAAAACAACAACACACUUAUUAAAUAUUUAUCGAAUAGAGAAUAAAGUAAAUUUUUUUUGGUUUCUUAAAAUCUAUUUAUAACUUUAAAUGAUUAAUAUUAAACGAAUAAUUACGUUAUCACGAUAAAAAAAUUUUUUUUAUAUUAUUAUUAAAUCGAACACCAAUAAACUAGACAAUAAAAGCCAAUAACGAGUAUAUAAUAAUAAUAAUAACAAUAAUAAUAGAGAUAAUAAUAACAAUAAUAUAGAGAUAAAUUAACGUGAUGUAAAUGUAAAUAUAAUGUGUGGCGGACUAAAAUGAAUCGAUAAUCGUUGAAAACUACAAAUCAUUCAUAUCAUUCAUAUCGUUUGGAUUAUAUUAUUAAGUUGUAUUGGUUGGUUGUUAUUUUUUUUUCCUUAAAUAAAAUACGCUAUGGAAUGGAUUAGCGACGGAAUUUUGAAAAGUUCUUUAUUAUAACGUUUAUUAUUGAAUGCGAUUUAAGAAAGAGAUUCGAGUAGACUCGAUUUUACGCGCCUCAAACAGUGGCGCAAACCACGCAAACGGUUACUCGGCCGAACGUGUAAACAUAACGUGCGCAUUUAGAGGCGGCCGUGACCACGGACUUGCGUCGGCGGAGUUCGGGCCGCCCCCGAGGUCUUUUGUUUCGCCGACUCCACAGUAGCGCCACUGCCGUCUACUCUCGUGCUCUUUGUAAUUAAUUGAUUUUUUUUUUUUUAUUGAUAAAAAUGGUGAAUAUGCGUACCGUAUAAUAAUAAAAUUAUCGAUACGAACACCUCCUGGUCGACUGAUUUGAAAUGUAUUUCUUUUUAAAAUUAAUCGCGUCAAUUUAACAAUCAUUAUUCUCGUGCGUUUAUUAUAAUAUACCUAUAACAUAUGAUUUAAAAAGAGAUUCCGAUAAACUCAAUUUUACGUGCCUUAAACAGUGGCGCAAACUGUACACGCGGCCACUCGGUCGUAUACGUGUAAAAUUUAACGUGCGCAUUUAGAGGCGGCCGUGACCGCGGACUUGCGUCAGCGGAGUUCGGGCCGCCCCUGAGGUCUUUUGUCUCGCCGUCUCUAUAGUCGCGCCACUGUUUCAUAUACUGUCGUACGCUUUCCGACUAAUUAAUUUUUUUUAUUAAUAAAAUACACAUAUAAUAUAUAAACGAAGGGCUGCGGGGGAAAAAAACGACAGCAGUCAAUAUUUCCGAACCUGUGCACACCGAUUUACGUGUCCACUUGGACUAUUAUACACCGUCAUCGUGAUCUUUUUUUCGCAGUUAUAGAUAUUUUUUUUUUUUAUCCCGAUUCCAUUCGCUCAUCCAGAGAGCUGGAUCGAUGGGGGUGGGGAGGCUAAGGGGCAUUACAGUCCCGGGCCGCAAGUUGAAAGGGGCCACGCAACGUACGCUUUUGUUGACGACCUUCUUCUUAUCGGUCUUUCGCUACACGAAUAUUAGAAGAUCAUUUUAUGCGAAUCUUUCGCCGAUGAAUUUCGGUCUCUAGCCCCCGGGCCCCCAUAACACCCGUAAUCCGGCCAUACGCUCGUUCGUUUUU